GGCCCAGAUCGUUUACCGUGAAAAAAUUAGAGUGUUCAAAGCAGGCAGAUCCAAUUUUCUGCCACCGAAUACAUUAGCAUGGGAUAAUGGAAUAGGACCCUGUCCUCCUAUUUUCAGUUGGUUUUGGCAGCGCGAGGACUAGGGUAAUGAUUAAUAGGGAUAGUUGGGGGCAUUAAUAUUUAAUUGUCAGAGGUGAAAUUCUUGGAUUUAUGAAAGAUUAACUUCUGCGAAAGCAUCUGCCAAGGAUGUUUUCAUUAAUCAAGAACGAAAGUUAGGGGAUCGAAGACGAUCAGAUACCGUCGUAGUCUUAACCAUAAACGAUGCCGACCAGCGAUUAGGAGACGUUGAAUACAAAACACCACCAUCGGUUGCGGUCGUCCUUGGCGUCUCGGUUUCGGCCGGGGCGCGGGGACGGUUUAGCCCGGUGGCACCGGUGAAUGACUCCCUAGCAGCUUGUGAGAA
rnacentral:rRNA from 1 species